GAUGGAGGAAAAAGCUCAAAACUCAACUGAACUUCUCUGUGACCAGUCUUCACUGCUGCUUUGUUUCUCUCUCAGUCAGGCAGCAUAAAGGAAGUAGCAGCAGGACAACCCACAACCACAGACACUUCAAACACAUGUGACCAAUGAAAACAUUCAGUCUCCUGUCAGGUCAAUUUUCUGUCUUCGUGUUAAUUGAAGGAUGAUGUGGUCCGUGCAUUGGAUUUGGAGAAUAUUUUAAAUGCACUGAGAAAUACAAGAGUUUUAUUUCAAAAACUGAUAAUUCAUCUGUUCAAGGCUACAUUCAUGUCUGACCAUGAGCUAUAAAUACAUACAGAAAGACACAGAAGAGAGGGGCAGUUUUCUUUGACAGGAAAUGUGAUGUAUGAAGUCAACAGUUAUUUAUGUUUUUCCUGGUAGAGGAACUAACUUCUUCAACACGUUCUACUCUUCACUGAUCUGAAUUUACUUCUCUUUGUUGCUGUUGUAAGUAAGUGGGCAGCAAAGGUUGAAAAUCAUCCUUACUGACACACACUGAGGGUCUUUGCUAUUUACCCAAUACAACUGCAAUGAUAUUUUUAUUCAGCUGCAGCACUGUGCACACAUGUAAAUAAACCUGUCCAAGGCUGCACUGCAGCUGCAUACAGUUGCAGUCUUUCCUCUACAUCUGUCUGUCCUCUGUCUGUCCUGGAUGAGUGCUGCAGGAGGUUGGUCAGACACAGAGAGGCUUUUUUUACAUCUGCACAAACACCUGAGCAUAAAUCCCAAAGACACUGUUUGUAUUUUCACCACACACUGGUGAUAUUUGAUGAGUGUUGUGUUCAGUGACAGGUACAUUAUUCUCUCAUAGGUAAUAUUAUGGUUAAUGUCUGAUUCAGGUUAGACAGUUAACACUCCAGAUUAAAGUCUGUGUAAAGCAGUAACACUAAUGUGUUCUGAGUCAGUCACACCACAGAGAAAUGUGCUAUAAACCACUCAGCUAAAUUUGAAUGGAAAUUUGAAUGGAACGCCCACUCAGUGCAGCACAGUGACAGUUAGCAGCCUGUUAGCUCUCUGUUAGCAUCCUGUUAGCUCUCUGCUAGCAUCCUGUUCCGUACAUGUUUGAGCUACCGCAGCUUUUUGUUUUUGUUGAUCUCAUGGCCUGUCCUCAAGGACUCAAGAAACAAGUUGCAUUAUUUAUGCAGUCAUAUUAAUGAUGUUUAUUAAAACAAAGUAUAAAGAUGUUACACUGAUACUAAACUGACUCUGUGAUAAUUAAUUUGCGGGACAACAGCAAAGCAAGCUAUCAAAACUUGAACUAGUAUAGAGGGAGAAGCACUGAUGCUAACGCAGCGCUGCUAUUUAUAACAGUCACAGUUUCAGGGGCGGGGUUAUGCUGAGGAAAAAAAAGGAACUUUUUCUAAAUUCAUAAAAGUUUGACAUGUUCAUCUACCACCCAGACUACGAAUCAUUUCCUUCUUGGAUUCUUGGAUCACCACAUUAAAGACACUUCCUGCAGUGUCUUCACCAAAGUAAAGACAACCUGUCAUUAACUUUUAUUAUAUGAAUUUUGUCAGACUCGUUCACAUAUAAUGUUUAAUUAUUGUGUGGACGACUUCCAACCCCACUUCUCUGUCUACACUGUAGAGAACAGAGGGACAGUAUCUGUUAAAUGAAGAUUAUUGAACAGGAGACAAAGAGGGAACAAAUGUACAAAAGUUCGAUGACUGUGAGGCUCCUGCAGGAAGUUUCAUUAUUACAUGUCUUUGGUCUGAUUUGAUAAAAAAAAAUUAAUCCUAACAUCACACACCCCUCUGUCAUCAAUGACAGCAGGAAAUCUAUUUCUCACACAUCCAGGUCUUUGAAUAAUGAUAAUAAUCAAAUUUUUUCAAUUUUCCUUGUUGAUCGCAGCAUGCUACACGAGACCUGUACGUGGAAUAUUUCCCCCAUCCUGUCGCCCAGAACCUGUGAGACA